rnacentral:lncRNA from 1 species
GGAUGUAAUAGGAUUUAGUCUCAUCCUAUUUGUCGAUUAAUUAGGCUUUGAGAUGGAUGUGAAAAUCAGGACCGUAGCAGCUUGAGACACAUGCUGAUUCUAACCAGACACCUUUUAAUAGGGAUGGGAAAGGUAUUGCUCUUGUGCUCCACAAAUUUAGGUGCAAAUAUGAGGCGUUGGAUAAUCCCACAUAGCGGCAUAACUAACAGAAAUGUGGAGGCGACCUGGGGCUGCAUUACUAGAAGUAUAAGCUGUGGAAUGAGGGAGUGAGAGAUGCACUUUUUUCUCUCUGCUGGUCAGAACAGCCUGAAGACCUUCCCGCACUGUGGGUUGGGGGCAGAGGAGGUCUUAUCCUUAGAGGAGAGGAAAUAGGGUGGUGAAAGAAGUCAAGACCAUAUGCUUGCGGAGGUGUUUAGGGAGGAGUGUGGUUUAGCUUAAAUCAGAAGAAGCAAUGCAAUUGCUAUACGCAAUGACCUGAAAGCGGGAAUUAGGGAAGUGGGCUGAAGAAAGAGAACUAGGAACAACGGCUGGAAACUGCCGAGACACAGACUUCAGUCCCUUACAUGGAAGAGCUUCAAGAGCAGCUGCCAUUCUUGAGUUCCUCUACCCAGGACGGCGAAUUGCUUUCUGUAAUCAAUCCUCCAACAAUUUUGCCAUUCUUUUCUCUAUUUUUCAGAUGAGGAAACAGGUUCAGAGAGGGGAAGUGACUUAGCAGAGUCACACGCAUCAGAAGGGGUGGACUCGAGAGCUAAACCUCUGUACUCGGAAGACUCUGCUUGCUCCCCUGUGCUGGGCUGUCUGUCUCGCGAGCAGAGGAGCCUGAAAACAGAAUGCGUUGCCUUAGAAGACUGGCUGGGCAGAGAUAGCGGCAAUCGGAGGAAAGAAAGACAGAGGAGACACCUAGGGACACAAAGAAUCCCGAAAAUUCAACGUUGCGUCUUUAGAGGCUUUGACAUCAAGGUCUUGCUGGGCUCAUGAAAUGAUCUAGGAAGUGUUUCCUCUGCCGUUAUUUUCUGAAAGAAUUUGAGGAAUACUGUUACAGAAGCACAAGCCUUGUACCAAGAAGACACUUGGCCACAUGACUUUGGACAAUUAAACUCGCAGCUUCUGUUUUCUCAUCCAUCCAGCAGAG